CACGGAAUUAGCCGGUCCUUAUUCGAAAGGUAAAUGCAAAAAAGCACACGUGCCUUCAUUUACUCCCUAACAAAAGCAGUUUACAACCCAUAGGGCCGUCAUCCUGCACGCUACUUGGCUGGUUCAGACUUACGUCCAUUGACCAAUAUUCCUCACUGCUGCCUCCCGUAGGAGUUUGGACCGUGUCUCAGUUCCAAUGUGGGGGACCUUCCUCUCAGAACCCCUACUGAUCGUAGCCUUGGUGAGCCGUUACCUCACCAACAAGCUAAUCAGACGCAUCCCCAUCCUUUACCGAUAAAUCUUUGGUUCAAAUCAGAUGCCAUCAAUGAACACAUCGGGUAUUAGGCCGUCUUUCAACGGGGUAUCCCCAAGUAAAGGGCAGGUUGGAUACGCGAUACUCACCCGUGCGCCGGUCGACGUCCAAAAUGUGCAAGCACAUAAUGCCGUUUCCCUCGACUUGCAUGUGUUAAGCCUAUAGCUAGCGUUCAUCCUGAGCCAGGACUCAAACUCU
rnacentral:rRNA from 1 species